UUUCCGUAGGUGAACCUGCGGAAGGAUCAUUAUCGAGUUUGAAAGGAGUUGAUGCCGGCCUUCCGGGUCAUGUGCUCGCUCCUGUCAGAUCCAACUCAACACCUGUGCACAUCCGAGGGCGCGAGCGGUUUGUCCCUUGCCAACGUGCCUCGCUUCCUCCGUGGGUCGAGGCUUGGAGUGGUGGAUCCUGGCGACCUCCUUCACAUCACAAACACUUGAACGUAUCCAGAACGUGUAGCAGCCCUCGUGUGGGGCAGUCUUAAUUACAACUCUCAACAACGGAUCUCUUGGCUCUC
rnacentral:misc_RNA from 1 species